CCGAGGACGUAGGCCGUUGGCCGAACCACGUAAAUUUCGGUAUGCUAUUUUUUUAUCUUAUUUCUUCUUGCAUUAAGUUAUUUACUGAAUCUAUUUUUCGUCAUUCCGGAUUUUAACAGAGAAUAUAUAAUCAAGUUUCAAAAGACGAAACUUUUUGUAAGGUGGGAGUGAUGUAGAAUCCGAGAUUUUAUGUAUGAGAUUUGUAAUUUUGGGU
rnacentral:lncRNA from 1 species